ensembl:lncRNA
CAGAAAUAAAGAAAGAAUGAACAAACAAAGAAAAGAAUAUAUAUAAGGAAAAAACAACAGAAAGAACAAGUGUGUAAAUGAUGGGAAGAACGACCGGACAAAUGAACGGGAAAAACGAAAGGAAGAAAUCAAAGCAACCAUCAAAUGAACAAAAACAAAUGAACCAAACAACAACCAAAUGAAGGAAAGAAUGAAAAAACUAAAAGGGAAAAACUAAAGAACGAAAACCAAGCAACCAACAAAUGAACCAAACAACAACCAAACGGAGGACAGAAUGAAGGAGCACACAGGUGGCUGAGGAGCUGAGGAGAGGAGGGGAGGAAGGAGGAAUGAAGGAGCACACAGGUGGCUGAGGAGCUGAGGAGAGAAGGGGAACAAGGAGGAAUGGAGGGGCAGAAGCGAGGCAACAGGGGAAAGGAUGAAAGCCGAAGAAAAGGAAGACGUUGUCUCCUUACUGACUGCCUCUGUCACCUCCCUCACCCUGAGGGGGGAGCAGGCGGGGGCGCCGGGGGAAAUUACCCAGAGCAUCAACACAUUGAUUCAUCUAAGAUGUGGUGUGUGCAUAACUCUCUCUCUGUGUGUGUGUGUGUGUGUGUGUGUGUGUGUGUGUGUGUGUGUGUGUGUGUGUGUGUGUGUGUGUGUGUGUGUGUGUGUGUGUGUGUGUGUGUGUGUGUGUGUGUGUGUGUGUGUGUGUGUGUCUCACGGCCUUUGUAGUGGGGAGUGUAUGGAAAGCAGUGUGAUGGUCAACAUCUGGCUACACAUACAGAAUUAGGACCCAAUGUGACGGAGCAUUGUUUGCUUGCUCUCGGUCCCUGAUUGGCUGUAGCUGUUGGUCUGUACUCUGUAAUUAAGAAGCAGUGGUAUCCCCCCCGGUCUCUCUCAGUUGUGCUCGCGGCCCACCCCAUGCUGUGUGUGCAGGUGAGCGUGUGUCUUUCAAGUCCUUACCUCUCCUCCCACACAUUGUGGAACUACUUCUUUCCACAGUUCCCUUUCCAAAUACAUGCCUGCGGUUGUGCUUGCAUAUUCUGCCAGCUCAGGGAAGUAAAGAACAUAAACAGAAGGAAACAAUCAUAGAGAUAUUGUUUAGGGCUCGAAAUGAGGGCCCCCGGAACCCGAAUGACCAGUCAUGAUACAUAAACUACAGUAUAAGAAGAACCCAGGAGCAUCACCAUUAUCACCACCAGCACUCGGGCACAGUUUAGUCUGGCGUGUGAACUUUCUACUUUCCAUUUGGCAUCGUCUCUUUCUCUCUGUUAAUUCCAACUUGCUCGCAAGGUCACCUUCCAAGCCCUAACGGACCGUGUGUUCACGAGCGUGUGUUUAUAUGGACCUGUAUGGGUGUGUGCGAGUGUGUGCCGGCGUGUGUGUGUGUGCCGGCGUGUGUGUGUGUGUGUGCCG